rnacentral:SRP_RNA from 1 species
UUGGUUCUCCCGCAAUGCUAGCUUGUGAACUCGGUCAGGUCCGGAAGGAAGCAGCCGCAGCAGGUGACGUGUGUGCCGGGAUGUAGCUG